UACGAAGGGAUCUAGCGUUGUUCGGAUUUACUGGGCGUAAAGGGCGCGUAGGCGGUCAGAUAAGUAAGGUGUGAAAGCCCCCAGGCUCAACUUGGGAACUGCACUUUAAACUGUCUGGCUUGAGUAUGGGAGAGGUAAGUAGAAUUCCGAGUGUAGAGGUGAAAUUCGUAGAUAUUCGCAAGAACACCAGUGGCGAAGGCGGCUCACUGGCCCAUAACUGACGCUGAGGCACGAAAGCGUGGGGGAGCAAACAGG
rnacentral:rRNA from 1 species